GCAGCCGCCGCGGUAAUACGAAGGGUGCAAGCGUUAAUCGGAAUUACUGGGCGUAAAGCGUGCGUAGGCGGUGAGUUAAGUCUGCUGUGAAAUCCCCGGGCUCAACCUGGGAAUGGCAGUGGAUACUGGCUCGCUAGAGUGUGUCAGAGGAUGGUGGAAUUCCCGGUGUAGCGGUGAAAUGCGUAGAGAUCGGGAGGAACAUCAGUGGCGAAGGCGGCCAUCUGGGACAACACUGACGCUGAGGCACGAAAGCGUGGGGAGCAAACAGGAUUAGAUACCCGCGUAGUCCCUGUCUCUUAUAA
rnacentral:rRNA from 1 species